AUAUACGACCGUACCGCAAACCGACACUGGUGCGCGAGAUGAGUAUUCUAAGGCGCUUGAGAGAACUCAGGAGAAGGAACUCGGCAAAUUGACACCGUAACUUCGGAAGAAGGUGUGCCCUAUUAGUGUGUAGUGAACAACGAAGCAUGAAUGGGUUGCAAAAAAUCGGUGGCUGCGACUGUUUAUUAAAAACACAGCACUCUGCAAACACGAAAGUGGACGUAUAGGGUGUGACGCCUGCCCGGUGCUGGAAGAUUAAAUGAUGGGGUGCAAGCUCUUGAUUGAAGUCCCAGUAAACGGCGGCCGUAACGAUAACGGUCCUAAGGUAGCGAAAUUCCUUGUCGGGUAAGUUCCGACCUGCACGAAUGGCGUAACGAUGGCCACACUGUCUCCUCCUGAGACUCAGCGAAGUUGAAAUGUUUGUGAUGAUGCAAUCUCCCCGCGGAAAGACGGAAAGACCCCAUGAACCUUUACUGUAGCUUUGUAUUGGACUUUGAACAGAUCUGUGUAGGAUAGGUGGGAGGCUUUGAAGCAGGGUCGCUAGAUCUUGUGGAGCCAACGUUGAAAUACCACCCUGGUGUGUUUGAGGUUCUAACCUAGGUCCAUUAUCUGGAUCGGGGACAGUGCAUGGUAGGCAGUUUGACUGGGGCGGUCUCCUCCCAAAGCGUAACGGAGGAGUUCGAAGGUACGCUAGUUACGGUCGGACAUCGUGACGAUAGUGCAAUGGCAUAAGCGUGCUUAACUGCGAGACUGACAAGUCGAGCAGAUGCGAAAGCAGGACAUAGUGAUCCGGUGGUUCUGUAUGGAAGGGCCAUCGCUCAACGGAUAAAAGGUACUCUGGGGAUAACAGGCUGAUACCGCCCAAGAGUUCAUAUCGACGGCGGUGUUUGGCACCUCGAUGUCGGCUCAUCUCAUCCUGGGGCUGUAGCCGGUCCCAAGGGUAUGGCUGUUCGCCAUUUAAAGAGGUACGUGAGCUGGGUUUAAAACGUCGUGAGACAGUUUGGUCCCUAUCUUCCGUGGGCGCUGCAGAUUUGAGGAAGCCUGCUCCUAGUACGAGAGGACCGGAGUGGACACACCUCUGGUGUAUCGGUUGUCACGCCAGUGGCAUUGCCGAGUAGCUAAGUGUGGAAGAGAUAACCGCUGAAAGCAUCUAAGCGGGAAACUCGUUUCAAGAUGAGAUCUGCCGGGGCCUUGAGCCCCCUAAAGAGUCGUUCAAGACCAGGACGUUGAUAGGUCAGGUGUGGAAGCGCAGUAAUGCGUUAAGCUAACUGAUACUAAUUGCUCGUGCGGCUUGACCU
rnacentral:rRNA from 1 species